CAUGAAGUCGGAAUUGCUAGUAAUGGCAGGUCAGCAUACUGCCGUGAAUACGUUCCCGGGCCUUGUACACACCGCCCGUCACACCAUGAGAGUUGGAGAUACCCGAAGCCUAUGAGCUAACUUUUAGAGGCAGUAGUCGAAGGUAGAAUCAAUGAUUGGGGUGAAGUCGUAACAAGGUAAC
rnacentral:rRNA from 1 species